GGCUGGUUCCAAGGUAGUCAGUUAUCUCAACUGAUUGUUCACAGUCAAGUUAUAGACUGAACUCCUUGUUCUAGUCUUUGACCCCUUCUAUCACAGUUGACUGCCUAGU
rnacentral:sRNA from 1 species